AAUAGGUAUUAGGGUCUUUAAGCAACAGCCUCUGGUGGAACGGCAACGGCAUUCUGGCGUUGUAUUGCGCAUGCGCAAAUUUAACUGCUACUUUGUGACGUUCUACUUUAACGGUCUACUACGGGAGAACAGCUGAUUUGCCGGCGUCGCUACAACGUGAGAGAUUAGAUAUGUCUGUUGUUAGCAACAACACCUCAGGCAGCAUUGAGAUUAGAGAUGAUGUGAAGCGAACAAUAGUCCCUAUGGAGUGGAAAGAGCAACAUGAUGUGCUUCUCUGUAGAGAAAUCCUGCUCACAGAACCAUACAGGUACAAAAAGGGCAGUGUUGACAAGGGCAAGGCCUGGUCAAGUAUAGCAGACACACUGAAUUGCUCUCAAGAACCCAAAUUCAGAGUUAUGCAGAGGUCAGUGAGGGAGAGAUUCAACUUGAUUCAGACGAAAUACAAGGCCAGAAACAAUAAAGACGAGAAGAGCAGUGGAACAUCUGCAGAAAUAA